rnacentral:miRNA from 1 species
UUCCCUCUCUGCGCAGCGCCCCUUCAGUGAAGCGGGAGGAGAAAUGGAAGGGGCUCCGUUUCUCCUCCUGCUUUGCUGGAGAGGCGCUGAGCAGAGAGAGA